UUCGCUCAAUCGGACCGAUUGCAAAACAGACAUGGCGGCACUCGAAUUCUAGCGGCUAGAAUUCGAUCGGUUUUCGGCUCGAUUUCCAUCCGUCUGCUCGAUUGCUCGAAAUCUAAACGGUAUUUUCUUUUGCAAAGCAUGAUCAAAACGAAACAAACGUCUGCCAUUUCAUUCGUGUCGACGAUUUCGACGUGUGAAUUAUUAUUUUUUAGAAAAUAUGUUUCAAAUCAGUGUUAUCAUUACAGUUUUUGUUAUCUAAUUGUUUGCUGAGGGCGGACAGUCUAUCAGCUGGUAUCAGCUGGACUCUUAAUGGAAUUUAUAAUAUGUUAUCCUAGAUAGAAUAUUCGAUACAGGUAAGUCGAAGCCGCCAUUUGCCUUUUUCAUUAUUAGAAUUGUAAAAAUCGUGUCAAUUCAUUGCUCUUUUUGAACAUUUCCCGUGUAGGUUGGAGGCUAUCUUUGCAUCGAUUGGAGCGCUGCUUGUUAAAAUUAUCCGAGGUUUUGUGCAUUUUUCUCAUGAAAACAACAGUUUCAUAGAAUUGCGGGUUAGUAUAUUCUAAUAAACCAGCUGCACCGAGUUGAUUAGCGGCUCGGCAGCUCGCCGGAACUCAUUUCCAACGAUAUUAGCUCCAGCGGAGGUUAUUCGGGAAGCUUCAGUAGCGAAAAGUAUUCCUCCAGCUCCCAAGAUGCUCUUACGACAACGACGAUUCCCCGCACCAGCAAUCAUUAUUUGACUAUCAUCAGAUUUUCAUUCGAACCGAAUGGAUCGACCCUUGGAUUCACCUGAUUAUCGGACGAAAAUCGAACAGAUUUAGUACCGUUUUCUAUUCUGGGAUCUAUAGUAUCGUCAACGCAUCAAUGACACUCAACGUCAACGCAUCAUCAUUAGCAGAAACCUGGUUUGGCCUGAUAGGAAGAAAAGCGUACGCCCUCUAGGACUUCGGUUGUAGCCGAAGAAAAUUAUUUUUCGCUCCACCAAAACCAUUGGUUUCAAAAUAACAAUUUUGCCCUACUGGCUCGUCCAAUUCCGAAGCCACGAUAUAAGUACACCGUGUUCCGAAGCAAUCUUUAAAUUGCCAUCGGUAGAAGUCAAUUUCCCUAGGACAAGCGAUCACCUACCAAUCAGUCGGCAAUGGGAAUACAUGCAGUUAGCCGGUCAGUUGACACUCGGUGAAAUCGUCCGCCCAGCUGGAUUUGGUAAAUCUACAACGAUCCUUCACUUGGCUCGCAUUCUACUGGCUGAAAGUUUUCGGUAAUCUGUGAUCGAACUGAAUUCCUCUAACGAAAGUGUCCCGGAACACGGCCAAGGGAGCUUAGCAAGUGAAAUGAAGUCUCGAUUAAAAGCCUAUUCGAAAGAAAAACUUGCUGCCGCAGGGUGCGAAGAGUCUGGAAUUCUCCUGAGAUAAAUAGUUGAAAGUUGGCAGUUUUCGUUAAUAUUGAUGAAUACGGCAUUACUACUGCGAAUGAUAAAACAUCAAAUUCAACUGCCCAAAAUAAUCUAGAUGAUUGCAUUCUAAAAUUUUCAUAUCAUCAGCAGCAAGUUCCAGAUCUUUCGUGGGCAGUUUGCGUAAAAACGAUAGCGUCGUUUCUCAAAAUUCGAAAAUAGGACUAGGGGCUCUCGGAAGCCGGCCGGAAGGCAGCAAAAUUUAUCGAAAGAGAACUAUCGCUCGAUCGUCAAUGAAAACUUCGAAAUGGAUCCCAAACCGAAUAUGGACAACCUAUCCAAGCAAAUCGAAGUCGAACACAUACGGUCAACAGCAAGCCAGUUUUAUAGAUAGAACCACGUAGAACCAUCGAACUAUCGAUAGCGGAUAUCUUAUUUACAAGCUCCAUAAUUUCGACCCUACUUGGAAGGUGUUCUGUACUUGCAUCCGCUAGCCUCAUCCGGAGAUUGUCAAAAAUUGCAGUCGUCUAUGAAAAGUUGAAGCGGCUGGAUAAUAGCGAGAAAAAUGGUUUGCUCAGAAGGCUCAGUGGAUGUUUGCUGGAUAAGAAAGCGUUUCACGGGAGCCGAUUUGACAAGAAGACUCCAUGGAUCAACGCAGUGCGCUGAUUCAUCAGGUAGUUGUCUACGGAAUCCGACCGAUCGAGUAAGGCGAACUAGAACUUCAACUAGAGUAUGACGAGGUUUCUAAUUUGCAAAACGCAAUAGAGUUACCCUUCCAGUAUCGAACGCUUGAUGAUUUAUUCGAACAUGAUCGUGAGGAAUUAUUUGAUCGUUAACUUCUAGAGACGAUGAAUACCUACCGGAUGCAUGUUUUCCACCAUGUGUGCACGGAUUCACCGCAGUUUCUGCCUAAGUUGACAAAAAUAGUUUCUUAACCAGAAUAACCUGAUCUAAGGCUGACACGGAGUUUGAAUCAUCGUUCAAGGGAUGGUAUAGCGGCAUCACUAUGAAUGGCGCACUCAAGGCAGUUGCACCAGAAGGGUCUCGAUAAGAACGGAAAAUCAAGAGUCUUUAGAUUUACAAAAUUUUUCUGCCGAGCAACGCCGAACGGAACAACCUAAUCUAACCUACCGUGCUGCAGGAGUUCGAUCAAGACUGAUGGAUUCAAACAGGAAGUCAAACAGCAGAGCAGUGAUUGCAGCCAUUAAGAACUCGGCCUCAAUGUUGACAGAGAUCGAACAAUUGGAACAUACUAUCCGAAACAACAAAAUCUACCACAGCGAUAACAGGAAUCUCAAAAUUUUAUUUAUUUAAGAGAACUGUUAGCGUUAAAUUUAGAUUUGAUGAGAAAAUAUUUAUUACCAGUAGUAAAGCAAUUUAAUUUUUUUCACACUUAGUAUGGGCAUCAGAUUAUAUCAUAUGAGAAUUAUUACAGUUAUUCAAAAAAUGAUUGGGAUUCUUGCAAAGUAAGACUCGUCUCGUAGAAGCAGAAAAUGGUAAUUUAAGUAUCUGCCAGGGAAAUUAUUCAUAAUUGUAUGUACAUUAAAAGAUUAGAUCAAUUUUCAAUGACAUGUUAGCUAUGAACAUUCAAUAUACAUAGUCAUGGUUAUUUAAUUUAAUGACAAAAGUUUUGUGUUGCAGUCAGGUUUUUUUUAAACCAAAUAUGCUUUGGAGCCAUAUUUCGGAACAACACAAAAAAACAUUAAGGCAAAUUAAAUAUUAUUUUGUUUCACCCAAAGUCAAGAAACAGCAGAAGAAAAAUGCGAUAAUUGAUUUUGUAAAUUUGACUUAUUAUUGGAUUAUUUAAAUUGA